UUGCAAGGGAGAUUCUCGUUCGAUCCCGAGAUUUUUUCUCCAUUAACAACACGAAACAACGUCGUUAACGAGGAAGAAGAAGAAACUAUAAAAAAUAUUUCAAUUGAGGUAGAAGUUAUUGUCAUCUCCAAUGACGACGACGCAACGACGGCAACAACAACGACAACGAUGAUGAUGAUGGCUACGUCCUUGCACGCGUCAAUCGUGUUGACGACGAGGACGAGGAAGAUGCUGACGAUGAAGAGAACGAAGCCGAAAACGGUAAUAGUACCGUUAACAUUAACGACGGUACUGACCGCGACGACGACAACGAUGACGACGAGGACGUCGACGAUGGUUCAAGAGGAAAUGUAGAACAAGUUUACCAAGACGAUAUCAACAACGAUUCAGCGUUUGGCAUACCGAACGAUUUUUACGACGCCGAGGAAGACGUCGUCAACGACAACGUACCCUUACCGUAUUCGAGAGUUGUUCCUCGGAGAACGAGUUUUAGAAGUUGAUUAUUCCCCGGUUAGUCGAACUUCUGUUGACGACGAGACACCUCCAUAUCUUCCGGGAUUUCCUCGUCCCGGUACAACCGAAUGGGAGAAUAUUAGGGAGAGAGUAUGAUGGACGGAAAACGGGAUCGUACUCGAGUUCCCUCCAUAAUUCCUCCCUUUAAUUCGGGUUAUGAACCCGAAGAAUGAACCGUCAGAGACGACGGCCUCAUCACCUGAAAGAUAAAUUAACACAUUGCGGAUCGCUAAGAAAUCUGUAAGACAUACGCCCGGGACCGCACGUUUUUGGCACAAUGGGGAGGUUUACGAGGACGUCGUACACCAUCUAAAACACCGGCGCGGUCAGCUUUAGCCAGACCGGAGAGUAAAGAGUAGAAAAGAAAGAAACUGAAAUGGAGAAGUGGAGAAGAAGGAAAAGGAAGAACCACUCCCGGGUCCGAGUCGAGAGGACGGUAUAAUCGUUACUGUUAUAUAGAGAUACAAGGGGAAAAUACGCAAAAUUUUAGAAAUUUUAAUAUUUUAAGGUGGAAGGCGAUCGUAAAAAUUCUCACUCUCCCCGAAGUCGACGUUACGUUAUAUUUAGAAAACGCGUUCUGCGAAAUCCUGACAUACGCGGUUAAUUCCUCCGCCGCGAACGACUACGUUAGAUUGUCGAUUGCUUCAUCAGAUUUAACACGCGGUCCAGCGGGUUUGUUAUUUCGUCCGGCGUGUGAUUUAACCUUCGAGAGUAUCUGAUAUCUUGCGAGUUCACUAGUACAAAAUGCCGGAGAACUCAUUAUCACGGAGAAUUUUAAUAUAACUGUAUACAAUAUCGAGACACUUUCGGGGUGGAGCAGAAAAUCAAAUAAAUUGACACAUAAGGAUGUCGCGAAACGCUCAAUUUUAAACAUCAAUAAUACCGAUAAUUUGUACUUUCCGCAUUCGCUCGUCGCAGCAUGGGUUUACUGCAAACGCGGUGACGUGCGAACGGGAGAAUUGCAUAACUAAUGGAACGCUAUAAGAUUCGCGCAUUCCUCGUUACAACGCCAGUUGAUGGAAGAAUUAACGAGGAAUACUGGGGUGAUCAUUCCCGAGUAAGGUUGCGGUAUUCCCGAAAUUGAGCGUUUUCAGAGCUAUCUUUAAGAUAAAGAAGUCGCGAUCGUUAUUUAUAAUUUUAGUAGUGCUCGCGGUGUCCCGCCGAUGUAUGACGGGCAUACGAUGCUUACCUCCCUUGUCCGCGAGGUAAAAUAGAGAUUAAAUAUUUUAUAUUAUGAACAUUCACGCAAUUUUAA